GAUGAACGCUGGCGGCGUGCUUAACACAUGCAAGUCGAACGGAAAGGCUCCUGCUUGCAGGGGUACUCGAGUGGCGAACGGGUGAGUAACACGUGGGUGAUCUGCCCUGCACUUCGGGAUAAGCCUGGGAAACUGGGUCUAAUACCGGAUAGGACGAUGGUUUGGAUGCCAUUGUGGAAAGUUUUUCGGUGUGGGAUGAGCUCGCGGCCUAUCAGCUUGUUGGUGGGGUAAUGGCCUACCAAUGCGUCGACGGGUAGCCGGCCUGAGAGGGUGUACGGCCACAUUGGGACUGAGAUACGGCCCAGACUCCUACGGGAGGCAGCAGUGGGGAAUAUUGCACAAUGGGCGCAAGCCUGAUGCAGCGACGCCGCGUGGGGGAUGACGGCCUUCGGGUUGUAAACUCCUUUCGCUAGGGACGAAGCGCAAGUGACGGUACCUGGAGAAGAAGCACCGGCUAACUACGUG
rnacentral:rRNA from 1 species